GAGUGGCUGAAGAGGCACGCCUGGAAAGCGUGUAUUCCCCUAAAGGGAAUCGGGGGUUCGAAUCCCCCUCUUUCCG
rnacentral:tRNA from 2 species